rnacentral:rRNA from 1 species
UACACACCGCCCGUCACACCAUGGGAGUUGGCUCUACCCGAAGACGGUGCGCUAACCGCAAGGAAGCAGCCGGCCACGGUCGGGUCAGCGACUGGGGUG